GACGAACGCUGGCGGCGUGCUUAAUACAUGCAAGUCGAACGGAAAGGCCCUGCUUUUGUGGGGUUCUCGAGUGGCGAACGGGUGAGUAACACGUGAGUAACCUGCCCUUGACUUUGGGAUAACUUCAGGAAACUGGGGCGAAUACCGGAGAGGAGCUCCUGCUGCACGGUGGGGGUUGGAAAGUUUCGGCGGUGGGGGAUGGACUCGCGGCUUAUCAGCUUGGUGGUGGGGUAGUGGCUUACCAAGGCUUUGACGGGUAGCCGGCCUGAGAGGGUGACCGGCCACAUUGGGACUGAGAUACGGAGCAGACUCCUACGGGCCGCAGCAGUGGGGAGUCUUGCACAAUGGGCGGACGCCUGAUGCAGCAACGCCGCGUGCGGGAUGCCGGCCUUCGGGUUGUAAACCGCUUUCGCAUGUGCCGAAGCCUGCGUGACGGUAAUGGGUAAAGAAGCACCGGCUAACUACGUG
rnacentral:rRNA from 1 species